UGGGGAAUAUUGGACAAUGGGCGCAAGCCUGAUCCAGCAACGCCGCGUGGAGGACGAAGGUCUUCGGAUCGUAAACUCCUGUCAGGCGGGACGAAGGCUUCCGGGCAAAUAGUCCGGAAGCUUGACGGUACUGCCAGAGGAAGCCCCGGCUAACUCCGUGCCAGCAGCCGCGGUAAUACGGAGGGGGCUAGCGUUGUUCGGAAUUACUGGGCGUAAAGCGCGCGUAGGCGGCUUUGUAAGUUAGAGGUGAAAGCCCGGAGCUUAACUCCGGAACUGCCUUUAAGACUGCAUCGCUAGAAUUGUGGAGAGGUGAGUGGAAUUCCGAGUGUAGAGGUGAAAUUCGUAGAUAUUCGGAAGAACACCAGUGGCGAAGGCGACUCACUGGACACAUAUUGACGCUGAGGUGCGAAAGCGUGGGGAGCAAA
rnacentral:rRNA from 1 species